UGGGGAAUCUUGCACAAUGGGGGCAACCCUGAUGCAGCGACGCCGCGUGAGCGAUGAAGCCCUUCGGGGCGUAAAGCUCUUUCGACCGGAACGAUAAUGGCGGUACCGGGAGAAGAAGCUGCGGCUAACUACGUGCCAGCAGCCGCGGUAAUACGUAGGCAGCAAGCGUUGUUCGGAGUUACUGGGCGUAAAGAGUGCGUAGGCGGUUUUCUAAGUUCGGUGUGAAAUCUCCCGGCUUAACUGGGAGGGUGCGCCGAAGACUGGGAAGCUGGAGUGUGGGAAAGGCAGGCGGAAUUCCUGGUGUAGCGGUGAAAUGCGUAGAUAUCAGGAGGAACACCGGCGGUGUAGACGGCUUGCUAGACCAUAACUGACGCUGAGGCACGAAAGCGUGGGUAGCAAACAG
rnacentral:rRNA from 1 species